CCUACGGGUGGCAGCAGUGGGGAAUAUUGGACAAUGGGGGGAACCCUGAUCCAGCGACGCCGCGUGCGUGAAGAAGUAUUUCGGUAUGUAAAGCUCUAUCAGCAGGGAAGAAAGAAAUGACGGUACCUGACUAAGAAGCCUCGGCUAACUACGUGCCAGCAGCCGCGGUAAUACGUAGGGGGCAAGCGUUAUCCGGAUUUACUGGGUGUAAAGGGAGCGUAGACGGCUGUGCAAGUCUGAAGUGAAAGCCCAGGGCUCAACCCUGGGACUGCUUUUGAAACUGUGGGGCUAGAGUGCCGGAGAGGUAAGUGGAAUUCAUAGUGUAGCGGUGAAAUGCGUAGAUAUUAGAAGGAACACCAGUGGCGAAGGCGGCUUACUGGGCAGUAACUGACGUUGAGGCUCGAAAGCGUGGGGAGCAAACAGGAUUAGAUACCCUUGUAGUC
rnacentral:rRNA from 1 species